UAUUUUAUUGGAUUACCGGGUUUUAGACAAGAGCAUGAAAAAGUAAUGAAUUAACUGCCUUCUAUGGCAGUCUUUAACUCUUUUUAAGCCAGCAAAAGCUCCGCUACUCACUCUUUUAAAUAGAUCACAGCAACUGGAAUCAGAUGGUGCCAUUCUCAUCUUGUUGCUGUAUCGAUUGAGAUGAGAGGAGCUUCUCCGAGUCCCGUGGAGCCCAGACUCCGUUUGUCUGCUUCAGCUAAAGCUUGGGACUUGGGAGGGCGACGAGUGGUGGCGAAUGGCGAUCGGCGAGAGGGCGACGAGUGGACUGGGUCCGGUGUCGGCGGUUGUUCAAGUGGUGGCGUUGCUUGGGAGUUCAAUCGGGUGGUGGCUGGCCGGAGGAUGCUGCCUGCGAGUGGCGAUUGGCGACGCGAAUGCUAGGGCUUCAAUUUCGUUUUGUGAGAAUCUGAGAUUGUGUUGACUGUUGAGUGCUGUCACUGUUGUGUAUUGUGUUUUCAUCUUGAAAUCCAACGGUGGUAAUUAGAUGGUGAGAGAUCAAUGGCUUACAAAAUUUCAUAGAAAUAAUUUAAUGAAAAUAAUUUUUGCAAAA